UACGUAGGGUCCGAGCGUUGUUCGGAAUUACUGGGCGUAAAGCGCGCGUAGGCGGACCUGCAAGUCGGGGGUGAAAGCCCGAGGCUCAACCUCGGAACUGCCUUCGAUACUGCGGGUCUCGAGUCCGGGAGAGGUGAGUGGAAUUCCUAGUGUAGAGGUGAAAUUCGUAGAUAUUAGGAAGAACACCAGUGGCGAAGGCGGCUCACUGGCCCGGUACUGACGCUGAGGCGCGAAAGCGUGGGGAGCAAACAGG
rnacentral:rRNA from 1 species